rnacentral:tRNA from 1 species
UCCCUGGUGGUCCAGUGGUUAGGACUAAGUGUUUUCUAAGUGUUUGCUUGAGGCCCAGGUUCAAUCCCUGGUCUGGGAA